rnacentral:rRNA from 1 species
CACUGCCGAGAAAAGCCUCUAGAUAGAAAAUAGGUGCCCGUACCGCAAACCGACACAGGUAGUCAAGAUGAGAAUUCUAAGGUGAGCGAGCGAACUCUCGUUAAGGAACUCGGCAAAAUGACCCCGUAACUUCGGGAGAAGGGGUGCUCUUUAGGGUUAACGCCCAGAAGAGCCGCAGUGAAUAGGCCCAAGCGACUGUUUAUCAAAAACACAGGUCUCUGCUAAACCGUAAGGUGAUGUAUAGGGGCUGACGCCUGCCCGGUGCUGGAAGGUUAAGAGGAGUGGUUAGCUUCUGCGAAGCUACGAAUCGAAGCCCCAGUAAACGGCGGCCGUAACUAUAACGGUCCUAAGGUAGCGAAAUUCCUUGUCGGGUAAGUUCCGACCCGCACGAAAGGCGUAACGAUUUGGGCACUGUCUCAACGAGAGACUCGGUGAAAUCAUAGUACCUGUGAAGAUGCAGGUUACCCGCGACAGGACGGAAAGACCCCGUGGAGCUUUACUGUAGCCUGAUAUUGAAAUUCGGCACAGCUUGUACAGGAUAGGUAGGAGCCUUUGAAACGUGAGCGCUAGCUUACGUGGAGGCGCUGGUGGGAUACUACCCUAGCUGUGUUGGCUUUCUAACCCGCACCACUUAUCGUGGUGGGAGACAGUGUCAGGCGGGCAGUUUGACUGGGGCGGUCGCCUCCUAAAAGGUAACGGAGGCGCUCAAAGGUUCCCUCAGAAUGGUUGGAAAUCAUUCAUAGAGUGUAAAGGCAUAAGGGAGCUUGACUGCGAGACCUACAAGUCGAGCAGGGUCGAAAGACGGACUUAGUGAUCCGGUGGUUCCGCAUGGAAGGGCCAUCGCUCAACGGAUAAAAGCUACCCCGGGGAUAACAGGCUUAUCUCCCCCAAGAGUUCACAUCGACGGGGAGGUUUGGCACCUCGAUGUCGGCUCA